UGUCUUUUUGAAAAUAAUAUAAAGUUUGAUCUGCCCACUGAUUUUAAAUUGAAGGGCUGCAGUAUAUUGACUGUACAAAGGUAGCAUAAUCAUUAGUCAUUUAAUUGGUGACUUGUAUGAAGGAUUGGAUGAGAUAUAAUCUGUCUCUUAUUUAAAGAUAAAAUUUAAUUUUUAAAUUAAAAAGUUUAAAUAAUUUAAAAAGACGAGAAGACCCUAUAGAGUUUUAUAAAUAAAUUAAUUAAGGUUAUUAGGAUAUUUUUAAAAUUAAAAUUAAUUUAUUUAUUUUGUUGGGGUGAUAGAAAAAUAUAUUUAACUUUUUUUAAAUAAAAACAUUUAUAAGUGGUUAGAUGAUCCAUUAUUAUUGAUUAUAAGAAAAAAUUACCUUAGGGAUAACAGCGUAAUUUUUUUUUUUAGUUCAUAUAAUAAAAAGAGUUUGCGACCUCGAUGUUGGAUUAAGAUAAAAUUUAAAUGCAGAAG
rnacentral:rRNA from 1 species